ACGGGAGGCAGCAGUGGGGAAUAUUGCACAAUGGGCGCAAGCCUGAUGCAGCGACGCCGCGUGAGUGAAGAAGUAUUUCGGUAUGUAAAGCUCUAUCAGCAGGGAAGAUAAUGACGGUACCUGACUAAGAAGCCCCGGCUAACUACGUGCCAGCAGCCGCGGUAAUACGUAGGGGGCAAGCGUUAUCCGGAUUUACUGGGUGUAAAGGGAGCGUAGACGGCAUGGCAAGUCUGAUGUGAAAACCCGGGGCUCAACCCCGGGACUGCAUUGGAAACUGUCAGGCUAGAGUGCAGGAGGGGUAAGCGGAAUUCCUAGUGUAGCGGUGAAAUGCGUAGAUAUUAGGAGGAACACCGGUGGCGAAGGCGGCUUACUAGACUGUAACUGACGUUGAGGCUCGAAAGCGUGGGGAGCAAACAGGAUUAGAUACCCUGGUA
rnacentral:rRNA from 1 species